CACGUAGGGCGCAAGCGUUUGUCCGGAAUUAUUGGGCGUAAAGAGCUCGUAGGCGGUCUGUUGCGUCCACUGUGAAAACUCGGGGCUUAACUCCGGGCCUGCAGUGGGUACGGGCAGACUAGAGUGCGGUAGGGGAGACUGGAAUUUACGGUGUAGCGGUGAAAUGCGUAGAUAUCGUAAGGAAGACCAGUGGCGAAGGCGGGUCUCUGGACAGUUCCUGACGCUGAGGCACGAAGGCCAGGGGAGCAAACGGG
rnacentral:rRNA from 1 species